rnacentral:rRNA from 1 species
UGCAGAAGAGGACAGUGGAACUCCAUGUGUAGCGGUGAAAUGCGUAGAUAUAUGGAAGAACACCAGUGGCGAAGGCGGCUGUCUGGUCUGUAACUGACGCUGAGGCUCGAAAGUAUGGGUAGCAAACAGGAUUAGAUACCCUGGUAGUCCAUACCGUAAACGAUGAAUGCUAAGUGUUGGAGGGUUUCCCCCUUCAGUGCUGCAGCUAACGCAUUAAGCAUUCCGCCUGGGGAGUACGGCCGCAAGGCUGAAACUCAAAGGAAUUGACGGGGGCCCGCACAAGCGGUGGAGCAUGUGGUUUAAUUCGAAGCUACGCGAAGAACCUUACCAGGUCUUGACAUACUAUGCAAAUCUAAGAGAUUAGACGUUCCCUUCGGGGACAUGGAUACAGGUGGUGCAUGGUUGUCGUCAGCUCGUGUCGUGAGAUGUUGGGUUAAGUCCCGCAACGAGCGCAACCCUUAUUAUCAGUUGCCAGCAUUAAGUUGGGCACUCUGGUGAGACUGCCGGUGACAAACCGGAGGAAGGUGGGGAUGACGUCAAAUCAUCAUGCCCCUUAUGACCUGGGCUACACACGUGCUACAAUGGAUGGUACAACGAGUUGCGAACUCGCGAGAGUAAGCUAAUCUCUUAAAGCCAUUCUCAGUUCGGAUUGUAGGCUGCAACUCGCCUACAUGAAGUCGGAAUCGCUAGUAAUCGCGGAUCAGCAUGCCGCGGUGAAUACGUUCCCGGGCCUUGUACACACCGCCCGUCACACCAUGAGAGUUUGUAACACCCAAAGUCGGUGGGGUAACCUUUAGGAACCAGCCGCCUAAGGUGGGACAGAUGAUUAGGGUGAAGUCGUAACAAGGUAACCA